GAUGAACGCUAGCGAUAGGCCUAACACAUGCAAGUCGAGGGGCAGCACAAGGUAGCUUGCUCUCUGGGUGGCGACCGGCGCACGGGUGCGUAACGCGUAUGCAACUUGCCCUAUACAGGAGGAUAACCCGUCGAAAGACGGACUAAUACUGCGUAUGCUCACAACUUGGCAUCAAGUGGUGAGGAAAGAAAUUCGGUAUAGGAUAGGCAUGCGUCCCAUUAGCUUGUUGGUGAGGUAACGGCUCACCAAGGCAACGAUGGGUAGGGGAACUGAGAGGUUUAUCCCCCACACUGGUACUGAGACACGGACCAGACUCCUACGGGAGGCAGCAGUGAGGAAGAUUGGUCAAUGGGCGCGAGCCUGAACCAGCCAAGUCGCGUGAAGGAGGACUGUCUUAUGGAUUGUAAACUUCUUUUAGACGGGAAUAACAAGAGUCACGUGUGACUCCCUGCAUGUACCGUAUGAAUAAGCAUCGGCUAACUCCGUG
rnacentral:rRNA from 1 species